rnacentral:lncRNA from 1 species
CGAUUGGGAAGAAGAUGAUAGAAGCAACCCAAAUGAGACCUCUGUUUCUCCCAAAAAUAAUUAGGUAAUUUUUAUUCCUUCUUUUCAUUUUGCCUUUUUGUGUUUCUUGGAUUUUCCAAGAAUAUUUAUGUCCUGGGUGUUAUGUGUUGAUCCCAACGGAUUGUAAAGAAUGAAAUUUAAUGACAAAUUGAAGUAUUAAAGAUCAAAAUAAAUAAACAAGAUUAAAAGUAAAGAAAAACGAAGAGAGUUAAUCGUAGAAAAACUUUGUAUUAUUAACUUACAAUAUGAAAAGAGAAUUACAACACAGCAAUAAUGGCUUCGACAAAACUGAUAGAUGAGCCUCAUAUAUAUAGGCCAUGUGCAAAACCCUAAAAAAGUCCUAAAAAGGUGAAACUAGGGUACAAGUUGCACAAAGCAUAAAAAUUAUUUUCCAAAUCAAACACUCAACCUCAGGACUCUUAAUACCAAUUUAAGUCUAAACCUAACAAUCUCCACUUUGACUCAAAUUUCAAUGCAAUGAGCGGAGCUUGAUAAGAGUGCAAAAUAUCAUAAUUUUCUCCUCUUAAUUGUUGCAUUUGUGUGAUUACUUUAUGCCAAAAUGAACUCAUUAUCGUUAUGUUUUGUUCUAGGUCACAAUUUGAUGAAAAAGGUGAAACUCGGAAUAAAUGAGUGAAAAAGACCAAAGUGAAAGUUCAAGGACCAAGUUGCAAAUAAUUCAUAGAUGAGACGGGCGAUAGAAUGAUGAUACGAAAAUGCUAGGGGUCAAUUUAGUGCAAUUAGAAGUCAAAAGAAGUUACAUAGGACCUUAAUAUCUUCACAAAUCAAAUUACAGUCGCAUAAAAAUUUUCUAGAUUUUUAGCUGAAGAUUGUGAUCAACUUUUGACCUAGUAAACCUUCGAAUUUGGAAAGAGCUGCAUCCACAUAUGACCUUAAUAUCUUCACAAAUCAAAUUACAGCCGCAUAAAAAUAUUAGUCCUUUAAGUUAGCUUUCCAUCACAACUUGAAACACCUCAAUCGGACAUCGAGAGAAAAGGUUAUGGCCAAAAUACUGAAAGUAGUCGCACAGAAAAUUCUAGCCGAAAAUUUACUUUCCUUAUUCGGUUCAACCUCUUUUGGAAACAUCUUGGCACUCAACUUUUAACCGGAAAAAUGUCCCAGAACCAGUAUCAUUCAUCUCCUACCAAUUUUCUCUCAAGUUUUGCUCAAGAAACCCAUGGAGAACUAAAUUAAUUGGUGAAGCCAUGAAGGAACUCGGUUAGAUUUCAGAAUUUUGAUGUCUUUUAUUGGAUGUAGUAUGAUUUACAUUGUUGAAUAACUCUAAACUAGAUUUCUUGUUCUUAUGGAUGUGUUUUGAGAUUGGGUUAGUUCUUAUUAGAUUUUCAUGAAUUCAAUCACAUUUUUUCAUAGAAUAGUCGAAGUAUUUAUCGAUUUUCAAUUUCGAACUCUUUAUUGGUAUGAUCUUUUACGAUUAUAUGCUGGAGGUAUAUAAUUGAUCUUGGAUCUUAUUUCAAUAAACAAUUGUGGAAAUAUGUGGUAAUAGAAAUCCAAGUUUGGAAUUACUAAGGAAUUAAACAAGGGCUUGAAUGUUUUAUUUUCCAAUUAAAGUGUUGGAAUGAAAACCUUUAAUUGAGUAUUUUCAUACAAAAUUAACAUUGAUUGAACCAAUCUAAUCGAGGGAAUUCCGGUGAUUUACUUGUUCAUACAUUGAUUCAAACUUCACUAAUUUCAUAUAUUGUUAUUAAACUUUUACUUCAAUUGACAAGUCAUUUUCCACAUAAAAUCACAGAAACCCUAGUUGGUUUGAUCCUUAUAUAAUUUUUCAUCUCCCUGUGGAUACGAUACCCCAAAGUUGUACUACAAUCACUGCGUUAUACCUUGGGCGUACUCAAAUUUUGGCGUCGUUGUCGGUGAGACAAUACAAGUAAUUGAAGGAUUCUCAAGCAAAAGUUUGACUUCGUUCAUCUUUUAUCUUUUAGUUAAUUUAUUUUCUUUGUUGUUAUUUUUUUAUUUUGUAUUUAAUUCCAUUUUUGUGUUUUAUGAACAGGGAUCGAGACGAGCAUGGACGAUUCAUUGCAAGGCCUCUGCCAGUGUUUUAUUCACUUUCCAACCCUCUUUUUGAUUCUGCAUCCAACACUAUACCAUAUAACACCAUGUCUGAUAGUGAGCACGGCGAUGCACCCUAUAAGACUUUACAAGACUACCUUCACCAUACACGCACAUCCACGCCGUCAUGCAUUAUGUUUCCGCCUGAUAUGCCAGGCAUGGAUCUCAAACUAGGAAUGAUUCAACUUCUUCCCACGUUUCACGGGCUUGAAAAUGAGAAUCCAUACGUGCAUAUUCGGGAAUUUGAGGAGGUGGUUGCAACUUUUCACAAUUAAGAUGGUACAAUGGACACAGUUAGGCUUAAAAUUUUCUCAUUUCUCAAGCAUUCCUUGGCAAGUACUUUUCUUACAACAGGACAAAUGCAUUGAAAAAGCAAAUCUCUUCUUUUACUCAAAAGGAGAGUGAAACUUUAUAUCAAGCGUGGGAAAGAUACAAAGAAUUGCAAGCCCUUUGUCCCCACCAUGGUUAUGAGAAUUGGCAUGUGGUGAGUUAUUUUUAUGAAGGGUUGACACCUAGGGAGCGUCAAUUCGUUGAGAUGAUGUGUAACGGUGACUUUUUACAAAAAGAUCCAGACGAGGCCAUACAAUACCUAGAUGAUUUAGCUGAAAAAGCCUAUACUUGGACUGGACCUAGUGCCACUGAUAGCACCAAUAGGUCAUGACCUAUCGAAAAUACCACUAGCACAGGUAUUUAUUAUCGUAGAGAGGAGGAUGACCUUAGAGCCAAGGUAGAUGCCCUCACUAAAUAACUCGAAAUCUUACGUGCUAGGGACUUAAAGCCUACACAAAAUGCAUCUCGUGUUGGAUCUUUAGGAUCAUAUUUUGUUUGUGGUGGAACUGAUCAUCCAACUCAAGAGUGCGCUACCUAUGCUAAGAUGAGGAGAGUUUAUGAGGAACACUGCAGUGCCUUAGGGACAUACCAAAAGCUUUUUUCUUCCUUUUCUAAAACAUACAAUCUGGGGUGGCGAAAUCACCCCAAUCUCAGCUGGAAAUCUGAAAGCCAGCCAAAUAAAGCUCACACUGCACCUCCAUAUCAACUCACGUCCUCUAGAAACUCUUUAGAAGACACUCUACAUGCAUUUAUAGAGGCACACAGUAAGACUAACCAAAAGUUUGAGACUAUGAUCACGAGACUAUGAUCACCCAAAUUGUUGAAGAAAAUAAGAAAAUAAAAUCUAAUAUGUCCAAACUAACUAAUGCCUUAGCUGUAGGAGAGCAGGGAAAAUUUCCAACGCAAGCUAAGCAAUCUCAAAGAAGUAAAUGCCAUAACCACUCGAUUUGGUAAUGUCAUUAAACCAAUUCUCAAACCUAAAGAAAAUGAAAAUAUGCCUAGUAAUUCAAAAGAGAAUAUUCGGAGUGAGGAGGUAGUGGAAAAUCCAACGCGAGUACCUUUCCCUCUAGUCUUCAAGUCUACCUCAAAAUCUGUUGGCCAACAUAGUGAAAUCCUAGAGUAUCUAAAAUAAGUAAAAAUCGAUCUGUCGCUCUUGCAUGUGAUUUCCUAGGUCCCAUGUAUGCUAAAGUCCUUAAGGACCUGUGUACUGUAAAAAGGAUGUAUCAUGUCAAGAAAAUCACUUUCUUGACUGAUCACGCGAGUGCCAUAAUUGAACAAAAAGUCCCGCCAAAGUAUAAGGACCCUGGUUGUCCUACUGUUUCUUGUGUCGUAGGGAACCAUGAGAUUUCACGAGCUCUCCUCGAUUUAGGGGCUAGUGUCAACAUCAUGCCCUAUGCUAUAUACUCGACGUUAGGUCAGGUAAUAUCAAACCUACUACAGUGGUCCUACAAUUGGUUGAUCGGUCCACUAUUAGACCUAGAGGAGUAGUUGAAGAUGUGCUGGUACAGAUUGACAAAUUUAGCUACCAUGUGGAUUUUUUGGUUUUGGAUAUGAAAGUAGAUGUGAAUGUUAACUCCAAGAUUUUCAUUAUUCUUGGUAGACCUUUUUUUGCUACAGCUAACACUCUUAUUAGUUGCAAGAAUGGUUUGAUGAAGCUAUCUUUGUGGAACAUGACCUUUGAUGUCAACAUCUUUCACGUCAUGAAACAGCUUGAGGAGGAUGACGAGUGUCAUCAAAUAUUCAUGGUUGAUGCACUCGUUGAGGAGAAAGCCCAUGAUUGUGGAACAUCACCGGCGAUCAUCUCCAGUGAGCUUGGUGCAAUACAAAGAGUGUUGAUAACUCUCUAGCUAGAUGCAGGCUAAAGAAACAAACACUGGGUAGAGCCAACGACAAUAAACAAAGGAGCUACUUGGGAGGCAACCCAAGGAGAGUUCUUUUUCCCUAUUUAUUUUAUCUUAUUUUUUUGCAUUUGUUAGGUUUAUUUGCAGCACAUGCAUUAUUCACUACAUUCUAGUUUAUUGUCAUUUUCUAUAUCACAUUUUCCAUUGAGAACUUUCAGGCUUCUUAUACUUCAACUUAUGUUGAUUUACUCCAGUAUUUAGGUGACAUCUUUCCCUUUUUUUUUUCUCCUCUUGGCGGACAUAUUUUUGCAUUGAGGACAAUGCAAUAUUAUGUUGGGGCAGAGUUAACUUGAAUUUUGUUGUGAAUUGCAUAUUUUCAUGAAAUUUUGGUCUAAAUUUUUUUAAGUCCCUAAUUUGUUACAUGUUUUUGAAUGACAAUAUAUGCCACUAGGAAUUAAUGUUGUUUAUGAAUGUUUGGAUGUUGAGACAUUUGCUGAAUUCUUUUGUGCACACAAGCCUUGUGGUAAGAUAUUGGUUUAACUAAUAUAGUUAGAGGAGUUUCUUGCUGAUGUUUUCAUAUGAGAAUUGGUGAGGAUCGAGAGCUGCCAUACACUAAAAUAGCAAUAAGCAUUCAUUAGUUUUGUGAAUUGGAAACUGUUUUGAGAACAUAUGGUUUGUGGUAAGAUGGUGGAUUACUUGGGAAAUGAUGAAGGUCAAUUUAUGAUUAACAUAUAAGCCUCUCAAGCAUUCUUUUUCAAUAAUUACAACCCUCAGUAGCCAUGUUGAGCUAUACACACAUAUAUAGCAUUUUCUUCAUACAUCCAUGUUAUACAUACUUCUCUAUACUGGAAAUUAGCCUAUACACGUAUUUUUUCAUCUUUUUACUUUCAAGUGUGUAGUAAGUAUUGAAUACUUAUUUGUGAAGAAUAGAAGCAAGAAAAUGAAAAGUAUUAAUAUGUACUCAAGUGAAACUAUGUGCUCAAGCAAAACACCCCUAAAAAAUAAAGACAAAAAAAUUGAUUGGUUUUGGGGUUGAAAUAUUGAAGAGUGUAUUGAUCGAGAGCUGUAAUCUACCAAGAUGCUUGAUGAUAUAUCUAGCUACAUGCUUGGAAGUUCUUGAAUCUUUAUAGCCUCAUAUCCCAAGUAUGAUUGUGGUAAGAAAGUGAUAAAUCCUCAUUUGACAGUAUUUCUAUCACAAGAUCAAUGUAUGUUUGUUGCUUAUUCCUAAAUAUUUAAGCCUCCGAGUUAUGAAUGUAUAUCCUUUCUCAGCUCCAUAGAGAGAAAAUCGCACUAAACACUUUGAUACCAAUGAGUUAUGGGUUUGAACCUUCUGCUUGAGACAUACUUGAUGUUGCAUGUGUUAGGGUUGGCGGUAAGAUGGUUAUGGCUUGACACAUGUUCACACAUUUGGCAUGUGUUUUGUAUAUCUUGAUGACCAUAACAUUGUUAAUUUCUUGUGGUGUUGAGUUUGAAAGGGACAUGUCAUGUGGUGAAAUUGAUACUUAAUAAUUUUAUUUGUAUCAUGAACCAGUCGUUCAUUUGCUUGUUUUGUAUUAAAUUGCUAGGGACUAGCAAUAACCAAGUUGGGGGUGUGAUAAGAGUGCAAAAUAUCAUAAUUUUUCUCUCUUAAUUGUUGCAUUUGUGUGAUUACUAAGGAAUUAAACAAGAAUAAAGCUUGUGGUACAUUAUGGACACCAUAAUGGUGUCCAUAAUGUCCACAUGGUGGCCCCCUAUUGGAGGGGUACUGGGUGGGCCAGGCGCCCCUCCAAUAGGGGGCGCCAUGUGUGCAUUAUGGACACCAUUAUGGUGUCCAUAACAAGGGCUUGAAUGUUUUAUUUUUCAAUUAAAGUGUUGGGAUGAAAAUCUUUAAUUGAGUAUUUUCAUGCAAAAUUGACAUUGAUUGAAGCAAUCUAAUCGAGGGAAUUUCGGUACUUCACUUGUUCAUACAUUGAUUCAAACUCCACUAAUUUCAUAUAUUGUCAUUAAACUUUUACGUCAAUUGACAAGUCAUUUUCCACAUAAAAUUACAGAAACCCUAGUUUGUUUGAUCCUUUAUAUAAUUUCCAUCUCCCUAUGGAUACGACACCUCAAGCUGUACUACAAUCACCGCGUUAUACUUUGAGCAUAAUCAGAGCUCACAAAAUUUCUCUACCUGAGAAAUAAACUCGACUGCAUCGAAAUGAAAUAGUCAAUCUUGUCAACGCAGAAACUAAAACUCUCUAAACCAUCGUCCUCCGCAAGAUGUCCACAAGUGACACUUGAACCCUACUCUCAGGUUCCCAAAAUUCCACCAAGGAAUUAUUGUUCACCAAAUAAGGUCGAAGCGCACCCUGUAAUAGAAACCAUACAAGAUACCUGAUCGGAAGGUCCCUUUCCAGAACUGUUACCUUCAACAAUCCCGAAAACAUUACAGACAUUACUGACAACAUAAUACCUAUGCUCUAUGGGUCCAACCUUGGCAUUUGAAUACAGUGCAAUUGCUGAAAUUGGCGGCAAAGGGGAAUCACCAAAGCUCCCUCGAGCAAUGUUCUAAACAGACCAAGAGCCGAUCACAAGAGGUAUUGUACCAAACUGAACAUCUACCAUGGUACUAAACUUAUCCAAAUUUCUCUUAAUUGGUUCUUUGCUCCCCUACAAGAUGUACAACUGAGACCUUCUCCAUCCUUCAAGUACAACCCGAACACCCUUUCUGACCUUCCAGACUCCACCUCAACUAGAGAAUUUAUACCCUUUUGCAUCCAGAGUACUAAGCGAGAUGAGAUUCAUUUUUAGGUCUGGAAUAUGUCGAACUUGAUCAAUUACUCUGACCAUCCCAUCCCGCAGCCUCAAUCUAACUAUACUGAUCCCAGUAAUAAGGCAAGACUGGAUGUUUUUCAUUACAACUCCACAUUGCUGAACAGCCUCAUAUGUCAGAAAGAAAUUUCAAUUGGAAUAUAUAUGAUGUGAACAUGCCGAAUUGAGAAUCUACUUCUCGUCAGGCCUAGAUUCCAUGUCAGAUACCAAGGUCAACAUCACAUAUUCAUCGUCUGAAAAGUCCUCAACAACAUUUGUUUCCUUUGAAGUCAAAGGUUGCGUUCCACAAUUUGCAGCUCAAUCAUCUUUAGCCUGCAACUUAUUGCAAUCCUUUCGAAUAUGUCCUUACAUCUGCCGUAGAAGCAAAAUAAAUUAUUAUUCUCCUUCGAUCUGCCCCUCCGUUGACCAUAAUGAAAUACAAGAUCUUCUUCAUCCCUCGAUGUAGCUCCGACCAGAUACUUCAACUCCUCCUUCAAAUGCAAAGUAUCAUAGACAUCGUCUAUAGUCAAAAUAUCCCAACUAUAAAAAAUGGUGUCUCGAAAAGAAGCAUAAGAGCCAGGCAGCGAACACAAUAGUACCAAGACCAGAUCCUCUUCAUCGUAUUUAACCUCCAACGUCUCCAAAUCUACGACUAUUUCCUUGAACACAACAAUAUGAUCUUCAAGUGACCCUCCUUCUGCCAUACGAUAAGAAUACAACUUCUGCUUAAGAGCCAAUUUGCUUGUGAGUCUUUUAGUCAUGAAUAACUAAUCUAAUAUCAAUUAUAAAGCAACCAUCAUUUUUCCCUUCAGGACAUCCUGCAGAAUAUUGUUAGUUAAAUGAAGAUGGAUCUGCGAUAAAGCCUUUCGAUCUCCGUUGUCCAUUUAGUUGGCAUCUUCUUAAAACCCAGCAAAGUAUCUCCAAAUUCAAUUACGCCAGAAUAGCCCUCAUCUUUACUUGCCACAAAGAAAACCUUGUAUUGCUAUCCAGUAGCGAAAUUUUGUACUUCAUGUUAGCCAUCUCUAAAAAAUCUCAACCAAUCCACAAAAGAAGAAUCGGCUCUAAUACCACUUGUUGAACCCAGAGGACUGUAAAGAAUGAGAUUUAAUGAAAAUUUGAAGUAUUAAAGAUCACAACAAAUAAACAAGAUUAAAAGUAAAGAAAAACAAAGAGAGUUAAUCGAAGUGGAACGAUGUAUUAUUAACUGAUAGUAUGGAGAGAGAAUUACUACACAACAAUAAUGGUUUCAACAAAAUUGACAGAGGAGCCUCAUAGGCCAUCUCCAAAACCCUAAAAGAGUCCAGAAAGGAUGAAAAUAGGUUACAAGUUGCAUAAAGGAAAAAAAAAAUUAUUUUCUAAAUCAAACACGCAACUUCAAGACUCUAAUACCAAUUUGAGUCAUAAACCAAACAUUAUGGGGUAUGAAAAUGAUAAUCAUCAAUGAACAUGUAAGGUUUAGACUCAUUCUUAGGGUGGAGCAAAUUUGUUCUUAUCUUUGAUUAAUUUGAGCUAACUGGAGCUCCUAUUUAUUUUGUUAUUAACCAAAAAUGAAGUGGUAAAAUGUUUUUUUGUUACAGAGACUCAAUACUAUGUUUUCGGGUUGUUGCAGAAAGUGGAAGUAAAACUUGUUAUUACAUUCUAUUGUAUGCCAGCAAUUGUUAGGUUUUAUGCCUCAAAAGUAGGGCUCUGAGGUCAUGAAGAUGCAUAUGAGAUUUGGAGAAUCAAUUUGUUUCCGGGAAAUUAGGAAAGAAAAUCAUGUUUCGAGAGGUGGCUUGUGCAGUCGUAUACAACUAUCCCAUGCAUCCGCAUGGGGUGAAGAAAAAACUCCUAGGCCCUUUUUUGAUAUUCCAUGCGACCACAUGGAAUGAACUGUGCGGUCAUAUGGUUUAUUCUGGUGCACAGUCCGAAAUAUUCGAUUUUUACACGUUUUUAUCUAAUCUCUUACCUUUCUAGGACUCUUCUAGGGUUUUUCACGUGGCCUAUAUAUAUAAGGCUCCUAUGUCACUUUAGGAAAAGCCAAGGGUGGAGCUAGAAAAAUUUAUUUGUGGGAGCAAAAUUAAGAAAAAAUAAAAUUUGUGGGUACAAAACAUGAAAAUUAGAAGUAUUUUUUUGAAAAAUUGGAAAAACUCUUGGACUAAAUUUGACAUUCCAAAAUUAGUGUGGGGACAGCUGACACCGUUACCCCCAUAUUGGAUCCACCCGUAGGAAACGCCAUUAUUGUUGUGUUGUAAUUUUCUCUCCAUAUUGUCAGUUAAUAAUACAUUGUUCCUCUGCGAUUAACUCUCUUUGCUUAUUUGUUUACUUUUAAUCUUGUUUUCUCAUUGUGAUCUUUGUUACUUCACAUCGUGUCAUUAAAUCUCAUUCUUUACAAUCCUUUGGAAUCAAUAAGUUGUAUCAGAGCUUGGUUCUUCUGUGGAUUGGUUGACAUGAAGGUUUUUCAGAGAUGGCUACCAUGAAGUAUGACAUUCCUCUGCUGGAUUGCAAUACAAGAUUUUUUCUGUGACAAGUAAAAAUGAGGGCUAUUAUGGCACAAUUAGAGUUGGACAAUACGUUGCUGGGUUUUGAGAAGAUGCCAACAAUACUAUACAGGAUGUCUUGAAGGAGAAAAUGACGACUGCUUUGUGGUUGAAACUGGAGCAGUUAUGCAUGACUAAAAUUCUCAUGAGCAAAUUGGCUCUAAAGCAGAAGUCGUAUUCCAAUCACAUGGCGGAAGGAGGGUCACUGGAAGACCAUAUUGCCGUGUUCAAGAAAAUUGUCCCAGAUUUGGAGACGUUGGAGGUUAAGUACGAUGAAGAGAAUCUAGCCUUAAUCUUGUUGUGUUCGGUAACUGGCACUUAUGCGUCGUUUCAGGACUCCAUUCUGUACAGUCAGGAUACUUUGACCAUAGAGGAAGUCCACGAUGCUUUGUAUUCGAAUGAGAAGUUGAAGUAUCUGGUUGGAGCUUUAUCUAGGAAUGAGAAAGCUCGUGUAUCUCAUGGUGGUCGACGAAUGGACAGAUCGAAGGAUAACAGCAAUUUGCAUUGCUUCUAUAGCAGACGUAAGGGACAUAAUCGGAAGGAUUGUGAUAAGUUGCUGGCUAAUCAUGAUUUAGCUGCAAAUCGUGGAGCGCAACCUUUGACUUCAGAUGAAACAAAUGUUGUUGAUGAUUUUUCGGAUAGUGGAGGUGUGUUAAUGACCGAGGUUUUUGACGUGGAAUCUAAACCUGACGAGGAGUGGAUUCUCGAUUAGGCAUGUUCGCAUCAUAUGUGUUCCAAUCACAACUGAUUUGUGUAAUCACAUAUAUAUAUAUUGAAAGAACAUUUUAGCCCAACCAGUAUUUUCCGUCCAAAGUCAUUUUUCCAUUGGCAUUCACUUUUUGUAAGUUCUACGCUAAAGAUUAAAAGAAUAGGUAUUAGACAGUAUUAAAGAAGAAACGAUCAACACAAGUCCACAACGACAUACUAAGAGGAUGCUGCCAAAAGAUGCCCAUUUUAAGGAGCUUUUAAUCACUCCCAAACACGCUCUUAGCAUUUUCUGUUAUCUCGAUUUGCAGUAUUAAUUGAACAAUAAAAAGAAUUAAAAUUUUGUCCAUAGUGGUUUUAGUUUUGUCCAGCAACAAACAUGGCAACUGGUCAGCUUCAGUAAACAUGUGGGCUUUCUUGUUUUUGACAGGAAUCUUCAUCCUUGAGAAACAUACCAGUUGUUAUCAUGUCCUCUGAGGAUGUUCCCUCAAGGAUUAAUAGGUAAGAUUUUUAUUUUUUACACGAGCCCGUGUAUCAUGUGUUGAACCACACAUCAUCUAGAACUUAUAUCAAGACUAGAUUAUUUUCUUCUUCAUUAGUAGCCCAAUUUUCAUGAACGGGUAGCUGACAAACUUGAAUUAUUAAACCACCUCGUCUAAAAACACGAUUUCUUGGGCUAAUAUCUGCUGAUGGAAUAUAAUGACAGAUGCUUAGAGGAAGGAGCAGAAGAAUUUUUGCUAAAGCCAGUGAAGAAAUCAGAUGUAAACUAGCUUAAGCAGCACAUGAUUAGCAGCAAAUGCAAUGAUUUUAAAAUGCCUGAAAAACAGGAAGAAAAGCUAGACGAAUCAGCAUCAGCAACAGCAGAAGAAGCAUCUGAAAAUAAUCAAUUACAGGAAGCACAAUCCAGUAACAAGUAGAAAGCCAUUGAUGAAAGCCUUUCUGUAGACAGAACAAGGACCCAACUUAGUGGCCUUACUGUGUUGUCCAGUUAAUCAUUGUAAUUUAUUAAUAUUCUUUUCAAUUUUCAAUUUAAAAGUUUCUUCAACUUUCUAGUUCAUCUCUUGUUUUUCUUUUUAGUUAGGGUGAGUAUAACAUUUACGAACAUGUACUGAUGAACUGGGGAAAGAGGAGAAGGAGAGCCUUUCAUCGCAUUUCAUUGAGAUGAAUUAUCCGUACAAAUUAUUUACAC